rnacentral:misc_RNA from 1 species
UCCGAGUUGACCCCGGCAGUCUCCUAUGAGUCCCCACCAUUACGUGCUGGCAACAUAGGACGAGGGUUGCGCUCGUUGCGGGACUUAACCCAACAUCUCACGACACGAGCUGACGACAGCCAUGCACCACCUGUGCAAGGCCCUUACGGACCCCAUAUCUCUAUGAGAUUUCCCUGCAUGUCAAGCCCAGGUAAGGUUCUUCGCGUUGCAUCGAAUUAAGCCACAUGCUCCGCCGCUUGUGCGGGCCCCCGUCAAUUUCUUUGAGUUUUAACCUUGCGGCCGUACUCCCCAGGCGGGAUAUUUAAUGCGUUAGCGUCGGCACUGCGAGGGUUAAACUCGCGACACCUAAUAUCCAUCGUUUAGGGCGUGGACUAC